AACGAACGCUGGCGGCAUGCCUAACACAUGCAAGUCGAACGAAGCCUUCGGGCUUAGUGGCGCACGGGUGCGUAACGCGUGGGAAUCUGCCCUUGGGUUCGGAAUAACAGUUAGAAAUGACUGCUAAUACCGAAUGAUGUCUUCGGACCAAAGAUUUAUCGCCCAAGGAUGAGCCCGCGUCGGAUUAGCUAGUUGGUGAGGUAAAGGCUCACCAAGGCGACGAUCCGUAGCUGGUCUGAGAGGAUGAUCAGCCACACUGGGACUGAGACACGGCCCAGACUCCUACAGGAGGCAGCAGUGGGGAAUAUUGGACAAUGGGCGAAAGCCUGAUCCAGCAAUGCCGCGUGAGUGAUGAAGGCCUUAGGUUGUAAAGCUCUUUUACCCGGGAUGAUAAUGACAGUACCGGGAGAAUAAG
rnacentral:rRNA from 1 species